rnacentral:snRNA from 1 species
UCUGAGUUUAGUAAAUUUGAU